rnacentral:rRNA from 1 species
GAUGAACGCUGGCGGCGUGCCUAAUACAUGCCAGUCGAGCGAACAGACGAGGAGCUUGCUCCUCUGACGUUAGCGGCGGACGGGUGAGUAACACGUGGAUAACCUACCUAUAAGACUGGGAUAACUUCGGGAAACCGGAGCUAAUACCGGAUAACAUGUUGAACCGCAUGGUUCAACAGUGAAAGACGGUCUUGCUGUCACUUAUAGAUGGAUCCGCGCCGCAUUAGCUAGUUGGUAAGGUAACGGCUUACCAAGGCAACGAUGCGUAGCCGACCUGAGAGGGUGAUCGGCCACACUGGAACUGAGACACGGUCCAGACUCCUACGGGAGGCAGCAGUAGGGAAUCUUCCGCAAUGGGCGAAAGCCUGACGGAGCAACGCCGCGUGAGUGAAGAAGGUCUUCGGAUCGUAAAACUCUGUUAUUAGGGAAGAACAAAUGUGUAAGUAACUAUGCACGUCUUGACGGUACCUAAUCAGAAAGCCACGGCUAACUACGG